AUGCCGACACCGACGCUGGCGGCGAGCUCGCGGCGGCAGAUCCGGUGCACCAGCGGCUCCAAGUCCAUGGCCGGCCUGGGUGCCACCGUACGGAUGUUCAAGGAGGUCGUCGCCAAGACCUGCAAGGUGUCGCCGCCACAGCAUCGGCUGAUCCGCAACACCCAGAUCUUGAAGAACGAGAAAACCCUAGCCCGGCAUCCGCACAACCUGGAGGAGCUUUGUUUUAAGAACCGGAACAUCUAUGGUAAUAUGCCCAACAUGCUUCUGCAUGAGAAUGGCUAUGGCAAGCUGGAGACGAGUCAUGUUUGGUCGCACAUGGGAGCUGUUCUUGUGAACGUGGGAGAUGAGAUUGUCGCCAAGGUGCCGAGGAAGGAGCGGGCUAUUCAUCUAGGACAUGGUUUCCUUUCAAAAUUGAAUGGGAUAAAUGACGACCUACCGCGACUUCGUUGGCCACACCCAUCCCCGCCUCCCAAUCACUCCAAAGGAACACGGCCCUGCCGCCCUCUCCUUCCACUAGAGCUCAGCCGGAAUGACCAGGCGCCGCAGGACACUGGCCUAUCCCACGCCCCUGCCAGCCGUCUGGAUGCUGCGCCGGAGUCUCUCGCGGUCGCUGGGAGCCGGGGCGCGCUCCUCCACAACGCCGUGAUCCAGGGCUUCGUCGACGCGGGCCUCCCGGCCGGGGGGCACUCUGGCCGCCUACCGGCGGCAUGCUGGACACUGAGAGGGUGUUUGACGGAGCGCCGGCCAGGGACAUCGUCAUGUACAACUCCAUGGUGGACGAAGUUGGGAUUAUUCGCCGCCCUUGACGCUUGCUUCCUGGAACAGGUGUUGAUGCAAGGGCAUUGGCUGGAGCGAGACGUCAAGGUCGGCACCUCUCUUCUUGACACAUACUACAAGUGUGUGACGUUGCUUCUAAUGAAGGUGGCGAAGAUGAUUGUGGAGGUGGAGGGGACGCUCAGCAUGCCGCCGGAGUAUAUCUCCGACGCACUCCUUGAGCUGGAUCAUGACCUACACGGAUACAUCCAUCCCAAACUCAAGAUGCUCAUCAGUUACAUCGACAACCUCCCACCAGAUUUUUUGAUGAAACAACAUGGGAUAAUCACUCCAGAUUAUUCUGAUUUGUUCAUCGUUGAACUUAUCCUCUCAAACUACAUCAGUAGAAGUUUAUCUCUAUUUUCCCUCUUUGUUGUUCAAGUUGUCAGGUUUCAUUGUGCCUCAGUUUCCUCUUGGGACGUUGGCCCCGAGGAAGGACAACUGUGCCGGCAACAACAACAAACAAGUAGGGUGGGUGGGAUGGGCAGGUCAAAUCUAAGAGUCAGUGGUGUUAGUCCUCCGGUGGCUGCCGCACUUAGAAUAGGAAAGUGCUAUGGUGUGGUGCAGACGGAUGGCAGCGCUAGUUCUUUGAGUUUGUCUUCUGGGCUCCGAUCCUCCUCGAAUUUGUCGUCUAGACAUUGUCGACAGAGCUCCGGCAUAGAUUCCUGUCGUCUCUUUGGGGCGGUGAGAAAAGAUUUGCGUGUCGAUGUAUUAGAAGGAAAAUGGAAUGUACAGAGGGUGGCUGCCGAAGGCGAACCACACAACAGCCAGGGUCAGCGAUUGGGCGAUCUUAUGCCCAUGGCCAGUACAACGCCCACAAAGAGUGUUAAUCUGCAACUCUUUGAUAUCCUAGGAAAAACCCUGGGCCAUAAACUCCUAGGGGAGAUUCCCCUAUGCACAUGCAACCCCUCCCACCACGUGGGAGAUGUUCCCAUUGUCCAGGGAUACUUUCGAACAAGAUGGGCCGCAAAGCAACAAUCACAUCCUACUCCGGUCUUUUCUCCACUCCUUCCUCGACAUCAUGUACCACAACUUGAUGCUGGUUGA
rnacentral:rRNA from 1 species